rnacentral:lncRNA from 1 species
GGCGAAUAGGGCCCUGAGCAGACCGUGCCUUUAGUCCGGGGAAGCUCCGGGUUUAGGUGGGUCUCUCGGUUGGGCUUUCCCCCACCAAGGACCCCUUUUUCCCCUGCAGAAGCCACGUUUGCAGCACCACAUCCCCCGGAUGACCGUGCCCGCUGACUCACCGGAGGCUUCAUAACUCGGAGGACGUUGUUUGUUUUCUGAACUGGCCUUGGGAUGGAAUUGUGUCUGCCUUAGACCAUUUUAAUGCAUUUCCCCAUGGAGGCCCAGUGUCCCCCAAAGUGGUUGCCAUUAUAAAAAACUUGCUCCAGAAUUAUAGGGAGGCUCUGUCCAUUUCUCACAUCCACAAGUCCAUCUUCUCUUGGCUCAAAGCUCUCCCUUGGGUACACUGUAUCAGGAAUGGGAUAAGAUCUGCGGUUAAUACUGUGAUCAGGAAGCUGCAAAUGGAACUGGAGCAGAGAAAAAGAGGAAAGAAGAAGUGUUAACUAGGGGGUCCUGUUAAAAGGGGGAAACUGCCUCCAGAAGCCUGGCUCAGCUCCAGGCAAGAGAGAAACAGACUGGGGGAGCUGGCAGAUCAGGGAAGUUACAGUCACUGAGUCAUUCUGGUGAAGUUUGGCCUGGUUCUGUGAAACUGAGCCACCGGCCUCCAACUCUGGGAUCAGUAGCCCCAGGCCCUUGUCUUUGCAGAGUUCUUAGUGGUUGGCAGCAUCCUGGAACAUCCAAGGAAGGAUACGCUCUAGAGUGGGGCUAGCAGCUGCCAAGGCUUCUAAAAAGACCUCAAAAUCCACCAGCCUCAUGGCAAAGAAGAACAAGUCCCAACUUUUCUUGCUUCAGAGCCCUGGAGGAGCUAUUUGAACUGCUGUCCAGACCCCCAGCUGUGCACAGCCAUUCCAGGACCAAGUGGAUGCCAAGGUGCCUGACAGAGCUGAGUUGUGCUGGAAACACAAAACCGUCCAACCAUUCACUGAGAAAUUCUACCCAGGACCCAGGGAACCAGGUUUUCUUCCAGCUCUUCUGCAAAACAAAGAAGUAAAUAAAUGUGUCUUCAUUAUUAAAUUUUAUUGUAUGAACCCCAAAUAGGCUUAAGAGAGGCCCCUUUGAUUGGUGGGUCCUGUCAAAACCCAAACUCUGCAUCCUGAAUAAAACAAAGCCGAAGGAUGAGUUCAUUGUAAGCCUUUUGACCUGCAAGCCAGGGAACUCAAGGCUAUGGGAGCAAUGAGUUCUAAGUUGCUCACAGAUUAAGGGAUUUU